UCAAAGUUACUAUGAGUACUAUGAGUAAAAAUAAGUUCUGUUUGCUAAAAAUGUAUUAAAUAAAAAUGCGAAAGAUGUGUUGGCAUGAAGUAAUAAUAUUUAAAAAUAAUGGCGCAUUGUCAGCAUCGUUUAUAUCAUUUUACAUAUCAUUAACAAAGCUGAUUUUUCUGAAAAUUAAUUAAGGUUUCUCUAUCAGGAUUUACUGUUAAGAUUAGCGAAAGUAAUUUGGCUUUAAUUGGCGGCUAUGCAGUAGUACAAGCUAAAAUAACGGCUCUAUGCCUCACUAGGGAAAACGGACGCUAAUAAGAAGAAGAUAAGCUAAAGCAAAUAAAUUAUGUUAUGAAACUAAAAAGAUAAGAAUGCUAAAACCGCUUGCCUAUAUGGUCCAAAAAUUGCGUCCAUAGUAAAGUUCAUUUUUACAUCUACAGUAGGUAAUUUUUUGAAAGUGAGUUAAUUUACUUUAGACAGAAAUAUUAAGAAGACAUGGGUAUUUUAAUAAAAUCACAUUUUCUUGCUCUGCGAAC